UACGUAGGGUGCGAGCGUUGUCCGGAAUUAUUGGGCGUAAAGAGCUCGUAGGCGGCCUGUUGCGUCCGCUGUGAAAGCCCCGGGGCUUAACCCCGGGUCGGCAGUGGAUACGGGCAGGCUAGAGGUAGGUAGGGGAGAAUGGAAUUCCCGGUGUAGCGGUGAAAUGCGCAGAUAUCGGGAGGAACACCGGUAGCGAAGGCGGUCUCUGGGCCUUACCUGACGCUGAGGAGCGAAAGCGUGGG
rnacentral:rRNA from 1 species